CCUACGGGGGGCAGCAGUGGGGAAUAUUGGGCAAUGGGCGGAAGCCUGACCCAGCGACGCCGCGUGAAGGAGGAAGGCUUUCGAGUUGUAAACUUCUUUGGGGAGGGACGAAGAUGACGGUACCUCCAGAACAAGCCACGGCUAACUACGUGCCAGCAGCCGCGGUAAUACGUAGGUGGCGAGCGUUAUCCGGAUUUACUGGGUGUAAAGGGCGCGCAGGCGGCCCUGGAAGUCAGAUGUGAAAGAUCAAGGCUUAACUUUGACAGGUCAUCUGAAACUUUGGGGCUUGAGUAUCAGAGGGGAAAGUGGAAUUCCUAGUGGAGCGGUAAAAUGCACAGAGAUUAGGAGGAACACCGGUGGCGAAGGCGACUUUCUGGCUGACAACUGACGCUGAGGCGCGAAAGCGUGGGGAGCAAACAGGAUUAGAUACCCUGGUAGUCCACGCCGUAAACGAUGAUUACUGGGUGUAGGGAGUAUCGACUCUCUCUGUGCCGAAGCAAACGCGAUAAGUAAUCCACCUGGGGAGUACGGCCGCAAGGCUAAAACUCAAAGGAAUUGACGGGGACCCGCACAAGCAGUGGAGUAUGUGGUUUAAUUCGAGGCAACGCGAAGAACCUUACCAGGGAUUGACAUCCUGCGCUAGGCCUGGAGACAGGUUGUUCCUUCGGGACGCAGAGACAGGUGGUGCAUGGUUGUCGUCAGCUCGUGUCGUGAGAUGUUCGGUUAAGUCCGGCAACGAGCGCAACCCUUGUUGUCAGUUACCAUCAUUAAGUUGGGGACUUUGGCGAGACUGCCGUUGACAAAACGGAGGAAGGUGGGGAUGACGUCAAAUCAUCAUGCCCCUUAUAUCCUGGGCUACACACGUACUACAAUGGG
rnacentral:rRNA from 1 species